rnacentral:rRNA from 1 species
GACGAACGCUGGCGGCGUGCUUUACACAUGCAAGUCGAACGAGAACCUUCCUUCGGGAAGCAGAGAGUGGCGAACGGGUGAGUAACACGUGGGCAACCUACCCCUCACACUGGGAUAACCUCGGGAAACCGGGGCUAAUACCGGAUAUUCACGACCUCGGGCAUCCGAGGACGUGGAAAGGAUUCUGGUGAGGGAUGGGCCCGCGGCCUAUCAGUUUGUUGGUGGGGUAAUGGCCUACCAAGACGACGACGGGUAGCCGGCCUGAGAGGGCGACCGGCCACACUGGGACUGAGACACGGCCCAGACUCCUACGGGAGGCUGCAGUGGGGAAUAUUGCGCAAUGGACGAAAGUCUGACGCAGCAACGCCGCGUGAGGGAUGAAGUACAUCGAGAUGUAAACCUCUUUCAGUAGGGACGAAGCGAAAGUGACGGUACCUGCAAAAGAAGCGCCGGCUAACUACGUG